GAUGAACGCUGGCGGCGUGCCUAAUACAUGCCAGUCGAGCGAACGGACGAGAAGCUUGCUUCUCUGAUGUUAGCGGCGGACGGGUGAGUAACACGUGGAUAACCUACCUAUAAGACUGGGAUAACUUCGGGAAACCGGAGCUAAUACCGGAUAAUAUUUUGAACCGCAUGGUUCAAAAGUGAAAGACGGUCUUGCUGUCACUUAUAGAUGGAUCCGCGCUGCAUUAGUUAGUUGGUAAGGUAACGGCUUACCAAGGCAACGAUGCAUAGCCGACCUGAGAGGGUGAUCGGCCACACUGGAACUGAGACACGGUCCAGACUCCUACGGGAGGCAGCAGUAGGGAAUCUUCCGCAAUGGGCGAAAGCCUGACGGAGCAACGCCGCGUGAGUGAUGAAGGUCUUCGGAUCGUAAAACUCUGUUAUUAGGGAAGAACAUAUGUGUAAGUAACUGUGCACAUCUUGACGGUACCUAAUCAGAAAGCCACGACUAACUACGUG
rnacentral:rRNA from 1 species